AUGAACGCUGGCGGCGUGUCUAAGGCAUGCAAGUCGAACGACAAAGUGGCAAACGGGUGCGUAAGACAGUGAUAACCUACCCCGAAGACAGGGAUAACCAUUGGAAACGAUGGCUAAUACCUGAUAGUCAUGAAGUGGCAUAAGUCACAUCAUGUAAAUGAUUUCUCGCUUCGGGAGGGAUCUUUGGCCCAUCAGCUAGUUGGUAGGGUAAUGGCCUACCAAGGCAACGACGGGUAGCGGGUGUGAGAGCAUGACCCGCCUCACUGGGACUGAGACACUGCCCAGACACCUACGGGUGGCUGCAGUCGAGAAUCUUCCCCAAUGGACGAAAGUCUGAGGGAGCGACGCCGCGUGCAGGAAGACGCCUUUCGGGGUGUAAACUGCUUUUCUGUGGGAAAAAUUAGCGAUUGUACCACAGGAAUAAGGGGCUGCUAACUUCGU
rnacentral:rRNA from 1 species